rnacentral:misc_RNA from 1 species
GAUGAAGAACUUAGCGAAAUGCGAUAAGUAAUGUGAAUUGCAGAAUUCAGUGAAUCAUCGAAUCUUUGAACGCACAUUGCGCCCUCUGGUAUUCCGGGGGGCAUGCCUGUUCGAGCGUCAUUAUAACCACUCAAGCUCUCGCUUGGUAUUGGAGUUCGCGAUCUCGCGGCUCCUAAAAUCAGUGGCGGUGCCUGUCGGCUCUACGCGUAGUAAUACUCCUCGCGAUUGAGUCCGGUAGGUUUACUUGCCAGCAACCCCCAAUUUUUACAGGUUGACCUCGGAUCAGGUAGGGAUACCCGCUGAACUUAAGCAUAUCAAUAAGCGGAGGA